rnacentral:tRNA from 3 species
GCCGCGGUGGCCGAGCCAGGUCAAAGGCGCCAGACUCGAGAUCUGGUCCCCUUCUGGGGUCGCAGGUUCAAAAAGGCUUAGGCCUUUGGAAAUCCUGCCCGCGGCGCCA